AACCUUAUGGACCUGCGGGCGUAUACCUGCGGAAGGAUCAUUAUAGAGUUUUCUAAACUCCCAACCCAUGUGAACUUACCUUUUGUUGCCUCGGCAGAGGUUACCUGGUACCUGGAGACAGGCUACCCUGUAGCAGCUGCCGGUGGACUACUAAACUCUUGUUAUUUUAUGUAAUCUGAGCGUCUUAUUUUAAUAAGUCAAAACUUUCAACAACGGAUCU
rnacentral:misc_RNA from 1 species